GCUCCUCCGCGGUCCCCGGCGGCUCCGAAAAGUCGCGGCCCUAGCGACGCUCUGCACAUUUGCCGGGAUCCCCCUAGGAAGUACCGAGGCCCCAACUUGUUUUAAAACAAAGUGCGAAGGAGGAACCAGCCGCGCUCCCGCCUGUUACCCGCCAGCCCCGCUGCCCGAAGGCUCGUGCACUGUGCAGCGAGACUGCUUCACGCGCUCCGUUCCUCGACUUACCUACCGAGGCGCACGCAGCGAGCGGAAGGCGACGAGUCGGGUCUCCCUCCCGAGGAUGGAAGAGGAGGUCAGAGGGAGAUGCCCGCAGCCCGAGGCUGAGGAACGAACCCGGGGCGUCAGCUAGGGCGCCGUGGGGUCCGGAAGGCCUGGCCGGCCCCUCCGCAGUGAGCAGGAACUCAGUGAACCGCCCGGAGCAGAAAUGGGACGCUCGGGGACCCACCCCCGCGCUCCCCCUCCCGCCCCCAAACUGCAGAUUUUUAAGUUGUGCAGACUUGCAAUAAUUCCUCAGAGCCAGCUGCUCCAAGCUGUAGGCGCCGGUGUUCCCGCCCCACAGCACGCAAUGGGACAACCGCCCCCCACCCAGCGCCUGCUGCCCGCUGGCCUCAGACGAGCACCCAGCAGGACCACACAGAGCCUGUCCCCUCUCUUAUGAAAGAGGAUCCAAAGCAUUUGUCUACACUGCUGUUUGCAAGCCUCUGAAGAAGAACUCCCUGGGUCAGUGGAAACAUCUCAAGCAAAUGCGGGCCUCGGUGCAUAUGUCUUCCAGGCUUCUAUAAUUCUUGCUUUGGACACUCUUGGUAACACCUACCAUAUUGGAUUUUCAUUGUUUAUUUUCAACUUGGCGCUGAACUCCUUGAAGGCUGAAUUUCUAGACCCUUUAAUAGGGUCUACGUGUUUAUGAGGUGAAUUACUGAAGACUCUACAUGUGCUUCUGAUAGAAAUUGAUAUACUUUAUUUCUUCCAUCAGUCUCCAGGCACAAAGGAAUCCUCUCUUCAGGUCGUUGGAGAUGUCCUCCAAGGAUCCUUGAGCAUUUCCCAAUUUGGGUUCCAUGGAACACCUGUGUCAGGUCAGAAGACUUUGGACAGGGCAGCCCCCCGAUGGCCCAGCGGUUUGGCACCACCUUCAGCCUGGGGUGUGAUUCUGGAGACCGGGGAUCGAGUCCCACAUCAGGCUCCCUGCAUGGAGCCUGCUUCUCCCUCUGCCUGGGUCUCUGCCUCU